GAGGGUGUAGCUCAAGCGGCAGGGCGCAGGCUUAGCGUGCGGGAGGCCCUGGGUUCAAUCCCCAGCACCUCCU
rnacentral:tRNA from 1 species